rnacentral:misc_RNA from 1 species
UUUCCGUAGGUGAACCUGCGGAAGGAUCAUUACAGAGUUCAUGCCCUCACGGGUAGAUCUCCCACCCUUGAAUAUUUAUACCUUAGUUGCUUUGGCAGGCCGUGGAAACACCAUGGGCUCCGGCUUAUGCGUGCCUGCCAGAGGAAACAAACUCUGUUUUUAGUGAUGUAUGAAUACUAUAUAAUAGUUAAAACUUUCAACAACGGAUCUCUUGGUUCUG